GAGGUCACAGUCAAAGGAGCUCAGGAUGGAGCAGCUGAUCGAGAGGACAGUGAGAGACAAGGCAGUGUUGGAUCAGAGGCAGUUGGUGUGUGUCCUGGGCCAUGAAGAGGAAGAAUUGUGAAGAGCUUUGUCUCUUUUUGGAGUGUGGAG